ensembl:lncRNA
UACAGGCAGAGCCACAUUAUCAGGGCAUGACACCACUGUAACAGACUUUUCUGUCUUUAUAACCAAAUUCACAACUCGUUAUGGCAUUUAUAUUUGAACAGAUCUUUCCAGCAAAUGAGACAUUAUUAUGCUUCUCACAAAUACGGCUUAUUGAAAUCAGAAGGAGACAUUCUUUUCAAGGUAAGCCUUAGGCUAAAAAGAUUCCUGCCAAAGAUAGCUAAUCUCAGAAGCAACAUAACAAUGCUUAUACUCCGCAGAGGGAAAGAAAACUGAUCCAUGAAGUUGCUAUUUGCAUAAAACACAGAAGCAUCUGUCAUAGACUCCUUUCUGGUUGAGUCUGGCAUCCAGGGAUCACUCAGCUGGUCUGCCUCAGCACUGGGCUCCCAUGAAGGCAAAGGGUCCCCAGUGAGGACUGCAUCCAGGUGCAAGAAGUCUGAGUCAUAUGGGUGGCGAUGAAAUGUACCCACCUGUGUGAAUAAAUGAAGACGCUUACCUAGAUUCCUUAUUUAAUAGGAUACCAAACGCAGUUUUUAAAAAGGUAUCCUGUAGCAGAAUGUAUCCUUA